rnacentral:rRNA from 1 species
GAUGAACGCUGGGGGCGUGCCUAAUACAUGCAAGUCGAGCGAACAGACGAGGAGCUUGCUCCUCUGACGUUAGCGGCGGACGGGUGAGUAACACGUGGAUAACCUACCUAUAAGACUGGGAUAACUUCGGGAAACCGGAGCUAAUACCGGAUAAUAUAUUGAACCGCAUGGUUCAAUAGUGAAAGACGGUUUUGCUGUCACUUAUAGAUGGAUCCGCGCCGCAUUAGCUAGUUGGUAAGGUAACGGCUUACCAAGGCGACGAUGCGUAGCCGACCUGAGAGGGUGAUCGGCCACACUGGAACUGAGACACGGUCCAGACUCCUACGGGAGGCAGCAGUAGGGAAUCUUCCGCAAUGGGCGAAAGCCUGACGGAGCAACGCCGCGUGAGUGAUGAAGGUCUUCGGAUCGUAAAACUCUGUUAUUAGGGAAGAACAAAUGUGUAAGUAACUAUGCACGUCUUGACGGUACCUAAUCAGAAAGCCACGGCUAACUACGUG